GACGAACGCUGGCGGCGUGCUUAACACAUGCAAGUCGAACGGAAAGGCCCUGCUUUCGUGGGGUGCUCGAGUGGCGAACGGGUGAGUAACACGUGAGUAACCUGCCCUUGACUUUGGGAUAACUUCAGGAAACUGGGGCUAAUAUAGGAUAGGAGCUCCUGCUGCAUGGUGGGGGUUGGAAAGUCGCGGCGGUUGGGGAUGGACGCGCGGCUUAUCAGCUUGUUGGUGGGGUAGUGGCUUACCAAGGCUUUGACGGGUAGCCGGCCUGAGAGGGUGACCGGCCACAUUGGGCCUGAGGUACGGCCCAGACUCCUACGGGAGGCAGCAGUGGGGAAUAUGGCACAGUGGGCGGAAGCCUGAUGCAGCAACGUCGCGUGCGGGAUGACGGCUUUCGGGUUGUAAACCGCUUUCGCCUGUGACGAAGCGUGAGUGACGGUAAUGGGUAAAGAAGCACCGGCUAACUACGUG
rnacentral:rRNA from 1 species